CCUACGGGAGGCAGCAGUGGGGAAUAUUGCGCAAUGGGCGAAAGCCUGACGCAGCGACGCCGCGUGAGGGAUGAAGGUCUUCUGAUCGUAAACCUCUGUCAGCAGGGAAGAACGGUCACUGUGCUAAUCAGCAUUGAAUUUACGGUACCUGCAAGGGAAGCACCGGCUAACUCCGUGCCAGCAGCCGCGGUAAUACGGAGGGUGCGAGCGUUAAUCGGAAUUACUGGGCGUAAAGCGCUCGUAGGCGGUAUGUCAAGUCAAGGGUGAAAUCCCCGCGCUCAACGUGGGAACUGCAGUUGAAACUGGCAAACUGGAGUAUGUGAGAGGAUAGUGGAAUUCCAGGUGUAGGAGUGAAAUCCGUAGAUAUCUGGAGGAACACCAGUGGCGAAGGCGACUAGCUG
rnacentral:rRNA from 1 species